CGCGUGUGUAGCUCAAUUGGCAGAGCACUGGACUCCAAACCCAGCGGUUUGAAUCGCCCCGG
rnacentral:tRNA from 1 species